UGUAAAUCUACUGAGGCUGCUUCACCUUUGCAUUCUGUUAUAAAGGAUAGUUUCCUUCUACAAACCAAACCCUUAAUCAACAUGGAGCUGAAUUAAAUGGAAUUGUAGGAUUAUAAAAUUCUUAAGGUUGAGGACAAUAGUAGACAGUCAACAACAACAACAAAAGAAUUUUUCAAUAACAACUACUUAAAUUAACUGGACAUUGAAAGUUUUUGGCUGACUUCAGAAAAACCUGGGAAGAC